CCUCAAUAAAACAGGUGAAUGGCUGCUUUAGAGGGUGGAACAGUCUGUCAGUGAAAGGGCAGACUGUCCCAUGAGCAAGCUGUCACUGAGCUCACAAUCACAGCCCCACCUCCUGUCAGCCCCACCCACCUACCAUUACCAGAGGAUGAAAGGCACCUGCACGACAGGCAGAGGCUCUGAGUGAGACAAGCAACCCUGGGUACUUACUGACUGGGAAUCUUUUGUCCGGGUGCAACAGAGGAACACUUUUAGACGGCGGGACCAGCUGGUGGCCUGACCCUCCUCUAACCGGUGCCUGUGAAGCAAAGGACUUCAGAAACUCAUCGAGCGCUUAGAGGAAAUCUGGGGGAUCGGAUGAGGCCCCAGCGUUUCCCAGUUCCUCUCAGCUGCUGUCUGCGUGGGACACACACUGCCUGCACAGCUGCCUCUGUCCAAUCUCUUCUCCCUCUGCAGCUCAGGUGAAGUCUCCUCCAAGAAGCCUUCUGUGAUUAACUUCUUACAACCUCUGGGAACUAGAGGGAGCAUCACCUGAUUGUCAAAUUUCGCUGCCUCCUCUUGGUGGCUCUCAGCUUGACGAAGGUGCGGCCCGUGGGGUCAAAGACACAGAGGACAGUGAUGCAGACACUG